AAGUCGUAACAAGGUCUCCGUUGGUGAACCAGCGGAGGGAUCAUUACAGAGUUACCUAAACUCCCAAAACCCUUUGUGAACCUUACCACCGUUUCCUCGGCGCGAGCUGCGGCUACCCGGGAGCUACCCUGCAGCUACCCUGCAGUAGGGGGGCCUACCCUGUAGCCGGCCUCCGGCCCGCCGAAGGACCGCUAAACUCUUGUUUGAACCACUGUAUCUCUGAACACCUAACUGAAAUAAGUUAAAACUUUCAACAACGGAUCUCUUGGUUCUG
rnacentral:misc_RNA from 1 species